UGCCCAACAGCUAGCCCACCUAAAACAACUUCAACAACCCCAUGUUAAUAACCCCUAAGUACCCCAGUAUUUAAAUUAAACAAACCAUUUUUCCCCCUUAGUAUAGGCGAUAGAAAAGGGACUACGGCGCAAUAGAGAAAGUACCGCAAGGGAACGCUGAAAGAGAAAUGAAACAACCCAGUGAAGCCUAAAAAAGCAGAGAUUAAAACUCGUACCUUUUGCAUCAUGAUUUAGCGAGUGUACCCCAAGCAAAGAGCACUUUAGUUUGGCGUCCCGAAACUACGUGAGCUACUCCAAGACAGCCUAUAUAAGAGGGCACACCCGUCUCUGUUGCAAAAGAGUGGGAAGAGCUUUGAGUAGAGGUGACAAACCUACCGAACCUAGUUAUAGCUGGUUGUCCAAGAAAUGAAUAGAAGUUCAGCCUCUUGGCUUCUCUUUUCACCCUAGUUUAACCCCUACUGAUGCCUUAAAGAAACCGAGAGAGUUAGUCAAAGGGGGUACAGCUCCUUUGAAUCAAGCCACAACUUUAUCAGGAGGGUAAAGAUCAUA
rnacentral:rRNA from 1 species